AAAACUGAAUGCCAUAUCAACGUAUUGAAGCUUUUGGCAACAGUCGGACAGUAAUGAACACAAAUGCCACCGCUUCACCAGAUAUUCAGCCUUGAUUUUGAUCACUCUGGACAAAUUGCAUCAGCUUCAGUACAAGUGUACAUGCCAAAAAAACUCGAGUGGUUCGCGACCUGAAGGGGAACCAAACUAUCAUAUAUUCUAUCAACUCCUCUCUGGUGCAGACAAUGACCUCCAGGAUCACUGGGCCUUGACAACCUGUCUGAGCCAAACCUCUUAUGACACCACUACAAAGGAGUGAAGAUCGACAAAAGGCUGGCAUAGCUUGGGCGAGAAUCGGGCUGCUCUUGGCGUACUGGGAGUAUCACCUGAUGAACAGAAUACUAUUUGAGUGUCCUGCAGCAAUAUAUCAUCUUGAACUGCAGGAGCUGUUAGAACUGCCACUGGUAACAAGUUCCAGUUCAGUAAGCCAGGCAGUGCCCAGCGUGCUCAACCCUCCUUGGAACAUCAGUUGAAGAAUUGGCUCGUUCUAUCUUUUAUGCCACACCUACCACACCUUCUACUAGAGCCUCAUUCAGUGGUCUCACGAUACAUUUGAUGAGAUUAUUGACAUGAUUCAACAUGCUGGUUAUGGUGAUAGAACUGCAUCACCAACAGAGGCCCACUGAGGCGUCCUGAAGGUCUGGAGGCUCUAGAGGGCAUGGCAACUGGUCUAUAUAGUGAAGCAUUCAAUGCCAUUGUGGCUCUCAUCAAUAGGUGUAUAUCAACGUCAGCUCACACUUCCAACUCCAUACUGGUGGUUGAUGCACCAGGCCUGCAAAAUCCAGCUUCAUGGGAGGAC